UGAUUUAAAUUUAAUGAUGGUGAUGGGUGUUUUUCGAUGGAACUUCAACAGAAAUUGGAGCGAAGGAGAGUGACGGUUUGUUAGUGUUGGUUAUUGGUGGUGUUUGACGAAAAUGAUUGGAGUUCAUGGUUUGAGGUUUUGAUUGGUUGAAAGUGUCGUUGGCUGUGAUGGAGUUUUUCAGUGGGUUUAGUGGUUAUUGUUCUGCCGGAGAUGGAGUGUUGGUGGCGGG
rnacentral:lncRNA from 1 species